CAACUGAAGCUGGAUGACAUCAGAAGAUCCACCUUCUCUGAAUCUUUUUCCCAGUAAGUUGCUUUAAUCGCCGGUGUGGGUGGUGACCUUUGUGGUCAUUUUCCCAAUCCUCUAUUUCAACUACGGCAAGGAAGUCCAUGAAAACACCAACAACAACCACACAAGCAAAAUGGCCUCCAAUGACUCUCACUGUUUCCAGGUCGGCAGCCACCUGAAAAAUCACUCUGGCGUGAAAAAGCUGAACUACAUCAUGAGCUCUGUGAUCGUCAUCGUGGCCUGUGUGCAGACGGCACUGCAUUGUCACGUCAUGGCCUUCUGACCAGGAAGUACGGGCUAGACUGCAUGUUUCACCAGGAAUUCUGGGCUCAGCUGAAGAGCUUGUGUUUUGAUGUGGUGCUGCUGGUGUGUUACAUGUCCUAUUACAUGUUCAGGAAUUACUACCUGGAACACCUGCAGCAGCUGGAGCACACUAACGAGGAGUUCCUCAGUCUCACGGCCCUCAGCUGUCUCGACAUGUUUACUUUCCUAAGGAGCGGACAUUGCUAUAUGUGUGACCUCUUCUCACAUUACCUAAACUAUGAACUCAGAGCCAAAACCUCGCUGUAAUAUUACUUACCUUUUAAACAGUACUUUAGCACCAUCUGCUUGUUUAUAUUGCUACACAACAUAGUCUACUGUACUGUAGGUCUAUUGCAGUUUGACUAUAUUGGACUAAAAUGUAUUUUGUCUCAUAUUGGAAUUUAAAAUACAGUAAGUUGUGCCAAUGACAUUUCUCUCAAUAUGUCGAUUUCAAUCUUUGAAAAAACUUUGUGUAAGGCUACAGAGUAUGUAAAUAUUGUAAUAAAUAAAUAAAUGGUUAAAAUGUUA
rnacentral:lncRNA from 1 species